rnacentral:rRNA from 1 species
GUGCCAACAGCCGCGGUAAUACGUAGGAGGAAAGCGUUGUCCGGAAUUAUUGGGCGUAAAGCGCGCGCACGCGGCCUCUUAAGUCUGAUGUGAAAGCCCCCGGCUCAACCGGGGAGGGCCAUUGGAAACUGGGAGGCUUGAGUAUAGGAGAGAAGAGUGGAAUUCCACGUGUAGCGGUGAAAUGCGUAGAGAUGUGGAGGAACACCAGUGGCGAAGGCGACUCUUUGGCCUAUAACUGACGCUGAGGCGCGAAAGCGUGGGGAGCAAACAGGAUUAGAUACCCUGGUAGUCC